rnacentral:rRNA from 1 species
UACGGGGGGGGCAAGCGUUGUUCGGAAUUACUGGGCGUAAAGGGCUCGUAGGUGGCCAACUAAGUCACACGUGAAAUCCCUCGGCUUAACCGGGGAACUGCGUGUGAUACUGGAUGGCUUGAGUUUGGGAGAGGGAUGCGGAAUUCCAGGCGUAGCGGUGAAAUGCGUAGAUAUCUGGAGGAACACCGGUGGCGAAGGCGGCAUCCUGGACCAAUACUGACGCUGAGGCGCGAAAGCUAGGGGAGCGAACGGG